UUCUGGGUUUGUAUAAAAAAUCAGCUUCUGCUUUUGGCUCUCUAGUUCACAUUGUUCCUACCACUUCCUGUUUGAUAUCUUACAUCUGAUUCUUCAUGUUCACUUGUACUAUCUACCUGGGGCUCUGCAUUUAUCCACCUGCGUCACUGAAACUUUUCUUUUCCUCAUACCUGGUUUAAAUUCUGUCUCUGGUGCUUAUUAUCUGACCUUAGGCAAGUUAUUUAACCUCUCUAAACUGUGUCUUUUUCAUCUGUACAUUUCAUAGGGCUUCCUUGAUAGCUCAGGUGGUAAAGAAUCCGCCUGCAGUCCAGGAGACCAGGGUUUGAUCCCUGCAUCAAGAAGAUACCCUGGAAAAGGGAAUGGCAACCCACUCCAGUAUUCUUGUCUGCAGAAUUCCAUGGACAGAAGAGCCUGGUGGGCUACAGUCCAUGGGGACACAGAGUCAGACACAACUGAGUAGCUAACAUAAGGACACUAAUACUUAAUUUAAAAGUUUUCAAGUGGAUUAAAAACAGCUAUAGAAGAGUACAUGACAACAGAUUAGUGCUUACGGCUGUGUACUGAGGAACUGCUGCUACUGCUGCUGCUAAGUCGCUUCAGUCGUGUCCAACUCUGUGCGACCCCAUAGACGGCAGCCCACCAGGCUCCCUGAUGCCUGAGAUUCUCCAGGCAAGAACACUGGAGUGGGUUGCCAUUUCCUUCUCCAAUGCAUGAAAGUGAAAAGUGAAAGUGAAGUCGUGCAACCCCAUGGACUGCAGCCCACCAGGCUCCUCUGUCCAUGGGAUUUUCAAGUCCUCACUUGAAAUAUGCUAAAGAAAAUCAAGGUCCUAAGGAGAGAAAUCAAAUUGAAAAACAUUCAGACAAGUUUCCAGUGGAGCUGCAUCAAAGCUUAUCCUAGUCAAUUGCAACUGUUUACUAUUACCUAAGAGAGACAUUUCAAUGGCCUGUGUGCUACUAUAUUACAAAGUUAUCUUCAUUCUAAUAGAAGAUGCUUUGGAUGACUGAGCAGAUAUAUGUUCAUCAGAAUAUAAUAGGCAUCUAUAAACAAAUUCCAUCCAGAGAAUUUUCUAGGCACAAUUUAAAGUGUGGACAAAAAAAAAAAAAAAAAAAAAAACAACAACAAAGUAAACUAUCUUUGUGAAUGAGAACUCAUCUUCUAGUACAACACCUAAAGGACCACUGCUUAGAGAAGCAAUCACAAUGACAAAAUCAAUGUCUGAGUAUAUCUGAGUUCAUGAUUUCUCUGAGUCUCUUAGCAGUAAAUUUUA
ensembl:lncRNA